CGGUGCGGUGCGUUGGGCAGAGCCGCUCCGCGCUGCGCUCUGCUUUGACGUGAUGUGCGCAGAGCCCAGAAUGGACGCAGACCCCGAGAAUUCAAUCGUGUGUGAACGGCUGGAAUAAAUGCGGGCACGUCGCCGCUAUUAUCCAAUGCAAGAGAACUGUGUGUAAUCACAUCGGCGGUCAGUUUCUGACUGCCUGCAGACCUGUGUGUCCACGAAGCAGCGUGGCUCCUGGUGCUGGUGUGAGACAAGAGUUCAUCUUACAGAUGGUGGCCCAAGAACACAGCUAUAUGGCUGGAGUGCAGAUAAAUGUGCCUUGGGAGCCAUCCCUGAGCCAGCAGCAAGCGGGAGCAUGCUGGCUGCCGGGCAGCCCCUUUCCAUCCCUGGGGAGAGGACCAGCCUAUCUUCAAAUGCAAACAAAUGCCAGGAAUGGAAAACAGAGAAUUAUUAAAAUAUAUGUAUUCCUGC
rnacentral:lncRNA from 7 species